AAGUCGUAACAAGGUUUUCGUAGGUGAACCUGCGGAAGGAUCAUUAAUGAAUCUUAGACCGGACUUUGCUUUGCAAAAGGCAAGUUGGUCGAUUUCAUUUCCCACACACACUUGUGCACUUUCGAUAGGUCCGAAAGGACUUGUUGGAAAAACUCUUGUGAUGUUGAAUAACGUCUAGGAUGUUCUAAUCCCAUUGAAAAAUGUAAUGAACAACUAUAAACGGUGGAUCUCUUGGCUCUC
rnacentral:misc_RNA from 1 species